GCUCUGACAGAUAGCAAAGCAGUAGAUGAGAAGGGGAACAGCUGUAUAUCAUGAUUGAUAGAGUUACAGACAGACGGUUUUCCACUGUGCCCGUCAGUCAGAAUGGAUUAACAGCUUUCCUUUGAAGAGUGGAGAAGACCAAAAUUAUGGAAAGAGGAAAGAUGAUAUUCAAGAAAGAUGAGAUGGAAACAAGCAUGACCUCCCCAUUCAUCCUCUCCAGUUGGCCGAGGAGCAUAAGUACCCUGGAGUUACUGGGAACACUGUGAAAAGGUUUGAUCAAGUGAUAUCACUCAGAGAACAGCAGCAAAC